CAGGGAGACAACAAAAUGUUAAAUAUUAAUUUUGUCACCUUAGGUCGAUCGGUAUCUCACAUUCUUAAUUUUUAAGGAUUUUAUUUCCUAAGCUUUUUUCUAGGUCACACCCAUUACUUUUCCUGGGCCAUUAGCUCAGGUGGUUAGAGCGCACCCCUGAUAAGGGUGAGGUCCCUGGUUCAAGUCCAGGAUGGCCCAUAUCUCUAUGUUGGGGGUAUAGCUCAGUUGGUAGAGCGCCUGCUUUGCAAGCAGGAUGUCAGCGGUUCGAGUCCGCUUACCUCCACUGAUCACCACCUCUUCCAUAAUUUAAGAAGGGAAACGUUUUGAGUAGUGAUCAAAUUCUGAACGAAUCUAGCUUCCUAAUUAUCUUUAUUAAGAUGCUGGACUCAUUGAAUUAAAUUCAUUGUUUUCAGAGAACCUUGACAACUGCAUAGAUUAUUUUUAAAGACAAUAAGCAUCUUUAGUGAUGCAGAUUUAUUAUUUGUGCGAAUGCAUUAAUAACAAUUCUAUUAAGCUGAUGCUUCAAUUUCUGAAGUUAUU
rnacentral:tRNA from 1 species